GACGAACGCUGGCGGCGUGCCUAAUACAUGCAAGUCGAACGCUGAAGGAGGAGCUUGCUUCUCUGGAUGAGUUGCGAACGGGUGAGUAACGCGUAGGUAACCUGCCUGGUAGCGGGGGAUAACUAUUGGAAACGAUAGCUAAUACCGCAUAAUAGUAGAUGUUGCAUGACAUUUGCUUAAAAGGUGCAAUUGCAUUACUACCAGAUGGACCUGCGUUGUAUUAGCUAGUUGGUGAGGUAACGGCUCACCAAGGCGACGAUACAUAGCCGACCUGAGAGGGUGGUCGGCCACCCUGGGACUGAGACACGGCCCAGACUCCUACGGGGGGCAGCAGUAGGGAAUCUUCGGCAAUGGACGGAAGUCUGACCGGGCAACGCCGCGUGAGUGAAGAAGGUUUUCGGAUCGUAAAGCUCUGUUGUAAGAGAAGAACGAGUGUGAGAGUGGAAAGUUCACACUGUGACGGUAUCUUACCAGAAAGGGACGGCUAACUACGUG
rnacentral:rRNA from 1 species